rnacentral:rRNA from 1 species
CCUGGCUCAGGACGAACGCUGGCGGCGUGCUUAACACAUGCAAGUCGAACGGAAAGGCCCUUCGGGGUACUCGAGUGGCGAACGGGUGAGUAACACGUGGGUGAUCUGCCCUGCACUUUGGGAUAAGCCUGGGAAACUGGGUCUAAUACCGAAUAUGACCRCGCACUUCCUGGUGUGUGGUGGAAAGCUUUUGCGGUGUGGGAUGGGCCCGCGGCCUAUCAGCUUGUUGGUGGGGUAAUGGCCUACCAAGGCGACGACGGGUAGCCGGCCUGAGAGGGUGACCGGCCACACUGGGACUGAGAUACGGCCCAGACUCCUACGGGAGGCAGCAGUGGGGAAUAUUGCACAAUGGGCGCAAGCCUGAUGCAGCGACGCCGCGUGAGGGAUGACGGCCUUCGGGUUGUAAACCUCUUUCAAUAGGGACGAAGCGCAAGUGACGGUA